AGAGUUUGAUCCUGGCUCAGGAUCAACGCUGGCGGCGUGCCUAAUGCAUGCAAGUCGAGCGGGGUCUUCGGAGCACUUACGCGGCGGACGGGUGCGGAACACGUGGGCAACCUGCCCCGAGGUGGGGGAUAGCCGGUGGAAACACCGGGUAAUUCCGCAUACGGUCACUGGCUGGAGGGCUGGUGAGGAAAGGGUCUUCGGACUCGCCUUGGGAGGGGCCUGCGGUCGAUUAGCUAGACGGUGGGGUAACGGCCUACCGUGGCGAUGAUCGGUAGCUGGUCUGAGAGGACGGCCAGCCACACGGGGACUGAGACACGGCCCCGACUCCUACGGGAGGCAGCAGCAAGGAAUCUUCCGCAAUGGGCGAAAGCCUGACGGAGCAACGCCGCGUGUGGGAUGACGCCUUUCGGGGUGUAAACCACUUUUCUCAGGGAAGAAUUCCUGACGGUACCUGAGGAAUAAGGACCGGCUAACUACGUGCCAGCAGCCGCGGUAAUACGUAGGGUCCGAGCGUUGUCCGGAGUUACUGGGCGUAAAGCGCGCGCAGGCGGCGGUGUAAGCAUGGCGUGAAAGCCCCAGGCUCAACCUGGGAGGGUCGUCGUGGACUGCACCGCUUGAGGGCGGUAGGGGCUGGUGGAAUGCCUGGUGUAGUGGUGAAAUGCGUAGAGAUCAGGCGGAACACCCGUGGCGAAGGCGGCCAGCUGGGCCUCCCUGACGCUGAGGCGCGAAGGCGUGGGGAGCGAACGGGAUUAGAUACCCUAGUAGUCC
rnacentral:rRNA from 1 species